CAGUCGCCGCGGUAAUACGAAGGGUGCAAGCGUUAAUCGGAAUUAUUGGGCGUAAAGCGCACGCAGGCGGUUUGUUAAGUCAGAUGUGAAAUCCCCGAGCUUAACUUGGGAACUGCAUUUGAAACUGGCAAGCUAGAGUCUUGUAGAGGUGGGUAGAAUUCCAGGUGUAGCGGUGAAAUGCGUAGAGAUCGGGAGGAACAUCAGUGGCGAAGGCGGCCAUCUGGGACAACACUGACGCUGAGGCACGAAAGCGUGGGGAGCAAACAGGAUUAGAUACCCGAGUAGUCCCUGUCUCUUAUAA
rnacentral:rRNA from 1 species